UACGGAGGGUGCAAGCGUUAUCCAGAUUCACUGGGUUUAAAGGGUGUGUAGGCGGGCAGUUAAGUCAGUGGUGAAAUCUCCAGGCUCAACCUGGAAACUGCCAUUGAUACUAUCUGUCUUGAAUAUCGUUGAGGUGGGCAGAAUAUGUCAUGUAGCGGUGAAAUGCAUAGAUAUGACAUAGAAUACCGAUUGCGAAGGCAGCUCACUAAGCGUGUAUUGACGCUGAGGCACGAAAGCGUGGGGAUCAAACAGG
rnacentral:rRNA from 1 species